UUGGCCGGGCGACGGUUGUCCCGGUUUAAGCGUGUAGGUGUGUGUUCCAGGUAAAUCCGGUUCACUUUAACACUGAGGCGUGAUGACGAGGCACUACGGUGCUGAAGCAACAAAUGCCCUGCUUCCAGGAAAAGCCUCUAAGCAUCAGGUAACAUCAAAUCGUACCCCAAACCGACACAGGUGGUCAGGUAGAGAAUACCAAGGCGCUUGAGAGAACUCGGGUGAAGGAACUAGGCAAAAUGGUGCCGUAACUUCGGGAGAAGGCACGCUGACAU
rnacentral:rRNA from 1 species